rnacentral:rRNA from 1 species
UGGGGAUAUUGCACAAUGGGCGCAAGCCUGAUGCAGCGACGCCGCGUGAGGGAUGACGGCUUUCGGGUUGUAAACCUCUUUCGCUACUGAACAAGGCCCUGCUUGUUGUGGGGUUGAGGGUAGGUGGAUAAGAAGCGCCGGCUAACUACGUGCCAGCAGCCGCGGUAAUACGUAGGGCGCGAGCGUUGUCCGGAAUUAUUGGGCGUAAAGAGCUCGUAGGCGGCUUGUCGCGUCUGCUGUGAAAACGCGGGGCUUAACUCCGCGCGUGCAGUGGGUACGGGCAGGCUAGAGUGUGGUAGGGGUGAUCGGAAUUCCUGGUGUAGCGGUGGAAUGCGCAGAUAUCAGGAGGAACACCGAUGGCGAAGGCAGGUCACUGGCCAUUACUGACGCUGAGGAGCGGAAAACGCANUGGGGAGCGAAGCAGGAUUAGAUACCCUGGUAAGUCCAUGCCGUAAACGUUGGGCACUAGGUGUGGGCCUGUUUCCACGGGUUCUGCGCCGUAGCUGAACGCAUUAAGUGCCCCGCCUGGGGAGUACGGCCGCAAGGCUAAAACUCAAAGGAAUUGACGGGGUCAUAGCUGUUUCCUG